rnacentral:pre_miRNA from 1 species
UUAACUCAUAUUUGUGUGGAAUGGGAUCAUUUGCCUACGUUUGCCGCUAGGGGCGCUGUUCCAACUGCAUACAAAAUUGGGUUA